rnacentral:rRNA from 1 species
GACGAACGCUGGCGGCGUGCUUAACACAUGCAAGUCGAACGAUGAAGCUGGAGCUUGCUCCGGUGGAUUAGUGGCGAACGGGUGAGUAACACGUGAGCAAUCUGCCCUUGACUCUGGGAUAACUGCGGGAAACUGUAGCUAAUACCGGAUACGAGGCUUGGGGGCAUCCCCGAGUCUGGAAAGAAUUUCGGUCAAGGAUGAGCUCGCGGCCUAUCAGCUAGUUGGUGAGGUAAUGGCUCACCAAGGCGACGACGGGUAGCCGGCCUGAGAGGGUGACCGGCCACACUGGGACUGAGACACGGCCCAGACUCCUACGGGAGGCAGCAGUGGGGAAUAUUGCACAAUGGGCGCAAGCCUGAUGCAGCAACGCCGCGUGAGGGAUGAAGGCCUUCGGGUUGUAAACCUCUUUUAGCAGGGAAGAAGCGAAAGUGACGGUACCUGCAGAAAAAGCACCGGCUAACUACGUGCCAGCAGCCGCAGUAA